CCCUUUGUGAACAUACCUAACUGUUGCUUCGGCGGGCAGGGGGUCCCCUCGGGGACGCCCUCCCGGCCACGCCCUUCACGGGGCGAGGCGCCCGCCGGAGGAUACCAAACUCUAUUUUAACGACGUUUCUUCUGAGUGGCACAAGCAAAUAAUUAAAACUUUUAACAACGGAUCUCUUGGUUCUGGCAUCGAUGAAGAACGCAGCGAAAUGCGAUAAGUAAUGUGAAUUGCAGAAUUCAGUGAAUCAUCGAAUCUUUGAACGCACAUUGCGCCCGCCAGCAUUCUGGCGGGCAUGCCUGUUCGAGCGUCAUUUCAACCCUCAAGCUCUGCUUGGUGUUGGGGCCCUACGGUUGACGUAGGCCCUUAAAGGUAGUGGCGGACCCUCUCGGAGCCUCCUUUGCGUAGUAACUAACGUCUCGCAUUGGGAUUCGGAGGGACUCUUGCCGUAAAACCCCC
rnacentral:rRNA from 1 species